UACGGAGGAUGCAAGCGUUAUCCGGAUUCAUUGGGUUUAAAGGGUGCGUAGGCGGGGCGGUAAGUCAGUGGUGAAAGCCUGCAGCUUAACUGUAGAAUUGCCAUUGAUACUGUCGCUCUUGAAUGCGGUUGAGGCAGGCGGAAUGUGUAAUGUAGCGGUGAAAUGCUUAGAUAUUACACAGAACACCGAUUGCGUAGGUAGCUUGCGAAACCGUGAUUGACUCUGAGGCACGAAAGCGUGGGGAGCAAACAGG
rnacentral:rRNA from 1 species